AGUGAACGCUGGCGGUAGGCCUAACACAUGCAAGUCGAACGGCAGCACAGUAAGAGCUUGCUCUUACGGUUGGCGAGUGGCGGACGGGUGAGGAAUACAUCGCAAUCUACUUUUUCGUGGGGGAUAACGUAGGGAAACUUACGCUAAUACCGCAUACGUCCUACGGGUGAAAGCAGGGGAUCUUCGGACUUUGCGCGAAUGAAUGAGCCGAUGUCGGAUUAGCUAGUUGGCGGGGUAACGGCCGACCAAGGCGACGAUCCGUAGCUGGUCUGAGAGGAUGAUCGGCCACACUGGAACUGAGACACGGUCCAGACUCCUACGGGAGGCAGCAGUGGGGAAUAUUGGGCAAUGGGCGCAAGCCUGACCCAGCAAUACCGCGUGAGUGAAGAAGGCCUUCGGAUUGUAAAGCCCUUUUGUUGGGAAAGAAAAGCUGCAGAUUAAUACCCCGCUGUUCUGACGGUACCCAAAGAAUAAGCACCGGCUAACUUCGUG
rnacentral:rRNA from 1 species